rnacentral:lncRNA from 1 species
UUUUUUUUUUUUUUUGAUGUUUGGCAAUGUAGCAUCUUUAUGAUAUUUGGUUAUGGCAAUGUAGCUCGGCUGGGUGGAAGGAAAACACCUAAAAACCCCAAACCCAUCAGUUUUACAAUAGUGUUUCAAUAGGGUUUCUGCUGAGAUUUAGAGCAGUACUAAGUGCCCUUUUGUGGCAACAUCCAUACAGGUAUUCAUUGAGUACUUUGCAAAAUGAUGUGGGUAAAUGAUAUACAACUCAAAUAAAACAAAAAAGACUAGUCAAGUUGAAAUCCUGUUAAUGCCAGAAAACCCAGCACGGAGCAAAUAUUUUCAUGUGAUAAUUUAAAUGGUGGCCUAAUAUAACCAAGAUACGCAGUGGGAGAGUUGUUUAUCCUCUGUCCUCUAAUGUGGUUGUCCUAGAAAGACGUUCACUUUUAAGGAUGGCAUUUAAUUAAGACUGUAAAUUACAGAAGAUGUAAGAAUGGUCACAAAACCAAAAGUCAGGGGAAAAUGCCACCUUGACUCUCUUCUGCCCUCUGCUGGGUGGUGCAUAUAUAUCCUUCUUGUGCAGGGGGGCAGGGGGAGGGGGGAAGGUGUGCAUUUCUCCUGUUUGAUUCCUCCCAGAAAACAAUGCUAAGGCGGGUCUGGAUGUGAUAAAUAUCUCCAUUCUGGUGAACCUUGGAGAUAAAUAUGGGAGUGAAUGGGGUGUUUAUUUCUUUUCUUUUACUAGUUAUAAAAUUAUGAUAAGACAUACAUAACACAAAGUCUACCCUUUUCACCCAAUAUACGUGUACAGUUCAGUGGUAUUAAGUACAGUCAGCUCCACCACCACCAUCCAUCACCAGAACUUGUUUCAUCUUGCCAAACUGAAAUCCUACACCCAUUACCCAUGAGCCCCUCCACUUCUCCCGUCCCCCAGCCCUGGCAACAGCCACUUACCUUUCUGUCUCUAAAGAAUUUGGCUACUCUAGGUACCUCGUGUAGUAUUCGUCCUUUAGAGAUCUGGUGUUGAUUUGUUAAACUCAUAAUGAAAUAGGAAAAGCACAUCUAGGCUAUAAAGAGGAGAGAGGAAAGUAAAAGAGUGCAUCAUAGCAUCUGGAAAGCACACGAAGGAGGCAAGGAGUUAACAUAGACAAAGCAGCAG